rnacentral:rRNA from 1 species
GACGAACGCUGGCGGCGUGCUUAACACAUGCAAGUCGAACGGAAAGGCCCUGCUUUUGUGGGGUGCUCGAGUGGCGAACGGGUGAGUAACACGUGAGUAACCUGCCCUUGACUUUGGGAUAACUUCAGGAAACUGGGGCUAAUACCGGAUAGGAGCUCCUGCUGCAUGGUGGGGGUUGGAAAGUUUCGGCGGUUGGGGAUGGACUCGCGGCUUAUCAGCUUGUUGGUGGGGUAGUGGCUUACCAAGGCUUUGACGGGUAGCCGGCCUGAGAGGGUGACCGGCCACAUUGGGACUGAGAUAAGGCCCAGACUCCUACGGGAGGCAGCAGUGGGGAAUAUUGCACAAUGGGCGGAAGCCUGAUGCAGCAACGCCGCGUGCGGGAUGACGGCCUUCGGGUUGUAAACCGCUUUCGCCUGUGACGAAGCGUGGGUGACGGUAAUGGGUAAAGAAGCACCGGCUAACUACGUG